rnacentral:piRNA from 1 species
UGACAGCGACAAAAUCAUCUACUCCC